rnacentral:rRNA from 1 species
GUGAAUGCGUAAGAUUGGAGGAACUCAGUGGCGAAGCGGCUUUCUGUCUGUACUGACACUGAGCGCGAAAGCGUGGGGAGCAAACAGGGAUAGAUACCUGGUAGUCACGCCGUAACGAUAAGUGCUAAGUUUUGAGGGGUUUCCGCCCUUUAGUGCUGAAGUUAACGCAUUAAGCACUCCCCUGGGGAGUACGGCCGGAAGGCUGAAACUUAAAGGGAUUUACGGGGGCCGCCCCAGCGGGGGAGCAUGGGGUUAAUUUCAAACAACGCGGAGGACCCUUCCCAGUCCUGACAUUCUUCGGCCACCCCAGAGAUUGGGCUUUUUCUUUGGGAGCCAAGUGACAGGUGGGGCAUUGUUGUCGUCCGCUCGUGUCCUGAGAUGUUUGGUUAAAUUCCGCAACGAGGGCCACCCUUGAUUUUUGGUGCCCUCCAUAAAUUGGGCCCUUUUAAGUGGCCGCCGGUGGCCAACCGGAGGAAGGUGGGGAAGGCCUCAAAUCCUCCUGCCCCUUAUGGCCUUGGCCACCCCCCUGCUUCAAUUGGCGGUACAAAGAGCCGCAAGGCCCCGAGGUGGAGCUAAUUUCAUAAAACCCUUUUCCGUUCG